AGCGGACCGGGUCGGGGAGCCCCUUUUCCUCCUCUUUGGGUGGUCGAGACCCGGCCACUGGCAAUUUUUCGAUGGGAGUGGCCGCUUAAUCUGUCCUUUCGGUCGCCAAUUAGCGGUGGAAUGGUCAGACCGGGCGCCUCGCAGCUGGGGUGGAUGGCCCACUUUCCACCGGACAUUAAAGAGGGGCCUUCUUCCGGUAGACCGGGUCGGAGGCAAAAACCAUUACCGUCCUAGGCAGCCGACUAGACGGUGGGGAAUGGAAGAGCCCAUCGGUAGUUGCACUAAUAGGCAAUCAUAAGCGCAACGAUUAGUAGGCUGCUUUUCACGCCGGGCCACUUUUAUAUUUUCGGUGGCGGCCCAUUCCUUCUUCCUUCCGCCAGCCACAGAAUAAAUCCCGCCUCGGGCCGAAACCUAUAUCGGCGGUCCCCAUGGCGCGUUGGCCGUGCUCUGACCGCCGGCCUUUGGAAAAAAUCGGUGGCGACCGAGUCACCCGCACUCUCCGGUACCCGCUAGAAAUUUUCCGAAUGUGCCAUCUACCCGGACAGGCGUAUACUUCGGCUACUGCCGUCUUAAAUUACUUAGACCACCUAAUAUUGGUUGGACCCAGCCGGUUUUGGCUCCACGCUAGUGACUCGGGAAAACGUCUUCUCCGUGGCCACGGCCUAUGACGGCGGGAAGAAACCAACGGGCCUAGAGUGGGUGGAUGGGUAAGUAAUUUUUCUUUUCUCAAUCCCCAUCUUUGGCCCUUAGGCCGAGAUCCGGCUUACCGGCCACUUCCUUCCGCCGCGCCUUUGGUCGGUGGACCUUCCACCCUACCGUCCGUCAUUAUAGGGAUGUUUUAAAAUACGGUUUUGGUACCCUAACCGGCCACCACUCCCACCCGAUCGGAGAGGCGGGGAACGGCUGCCAUGGAAGAUGGGCGCCCUAGACCGGUGGUCCGGCAGGGUGACGCGGCCCGGUCGGUGGUGGCGGCCCCGUCCGGGAAAGCCUAUUCCGGCGGAAAGGCCACUCUGACCGGAGCCUUCCUUCGCGUAGGUUUUUCGUCGGGCCUUCCCUCCACCGGGUUGGCCUCCGGAUAGUCACCGUCCGCAUCCAUUUAAGCCGACGCAUUCGAGUCAGUUGUCUAUAAAAUAAGAGCCUAUAAAAUAAAUCGGACAUCUUUUCCACCUAGAUUUUCUGUCGGCGGGCGGCUGGUAUCGCGCGGCGGAUGCCGCCUAUUUCUUUAUUAUUAUCCGUAGAAACUAUGCGGAUAAUUGUAAAUAAUCGGGAGAGGUUGCCACCUGGAAGUAGAGGAGAAACGAUAUUAACCGUUAGAAUUCGACACCUCGAAAUUCUACAGCCAGGCACCUUUAAAAACUCUCCAGUUGAAAGGCCGAUGGAUUUCCGGCCAUCCAGAACAGGGUAUCCGCAUCUUCCGUCGCCUGGUUUAUGCCAAAUUUUUUUUAUUACUAUUAUAAUUAGAAAAAGGAGAGGAAGCGCCACUCGGCCUCCCUCCAUUCGGGCAAUUUUGGCUUAUUUUUAAUGCCUAUCCUUCCACGGUGGUGUCUUUUGGGGAUCUGCCUCUGACUACCUCCCAACAGCCACGGGUUACUCGUCCUUUAUUCGGUUGGCGCGGCUUUUAUAUUUUCACCACAACUAUAAACGAAGGAGUCGGUGGUUGGCCAUCUAGGGUAAACUAUGGCAGCCGUCCGGAUAGGAUAGUAGUUAGACCGACCACCUGGCCUAUUUUUAACCUGGAUUAUGUCCGUCUCUUCGAUUUUAUUCCGAUUGUCCGCUUUUGGCCCUUACCCCUCUGGUGCCAACCGAUGUCCGGUCAUUAUUUUAACCGGGAGUCCGUUUUACCUUAUCCCAAACGGCUCCCGGAGCCUUUAAACUCGGCUGAUAAAACCAAUUCCCGAUUAACCCGUCUUCCUCCGGUUGGAGCCGGCCGUAGUUGCUUCCUCGGCCUCCCCUGCCUAACUCAUGGGAAUACCGGCCUGGGUUACGCUUAACCGUGCGCCAGUCCACGGUAACGGUGGAGGGCCGAAAGACGGCCCUCCUCCGUUAGCCCUGCCUGUCAGCUAUCGGCUGAACCCGAGGGUUGACACCACCCGUACUACCUACCGUCGGGCAUUCCGCCCACCCCCAUCGUCCGGACUGAAAAAGGUAAGUCGCCGAAGAUUCGGGUGGCCGUCUCCGUUCCCGAUAAUGCUACCGGCCCUGUCGGAGCCACGGUGGUUGGCGCUAUUCCACCUUCCCUAUCUCGGAGGUGGAUAGCAGUCCCGGUUCGGACAGUCACCGACUAUUCGCCCAUCCGCGCCUUUUAUAUCUUGGACACCAUUCAGCAC
rnacentral:lncRNA from 1 species